ensembl:lncRNA
AAGUCCAAGUACAAAGUCAGGAACAGAGCAGCACUGCUGAAACUAAAAGGAAAUCCAGUGUCUGACCCCUGGAUGCUCGCUGUACUGGAGUCUGAACCUGGAUCAUCUGAAAGAUCCUGUUCCCAAACAUGCAUUUUCAUCAAUAUUGUCCCUGGCUGAUCCAUGGGGGACUAACGGCUGCCAUGACAGAGUUCACUCUGGAUGGAUCCCCUGGAUUGCUCUUCAUCCUGCUCCUCUUCCUCAGUGAUCCCUUUUAUUCAUUGAACUGGGGAGUUCACAUCUGCCCCGUCUGCUGUGAUUUGAAAUUCUCAGCUCAUAUACUCAUUCAUAUAAUUGUGGAACUCCACUGUGUCCUUGUUAGAACAAUAAGAAAUGCUGGCAGGAAGAAACAAAUUCACCAAGACAGGCAUGGAUGAAGAGAGGAUAAUGGGUUGGACAUGCUUCUCUAAAUCACUGGAUGCAACUCAACUGACCACCUGCCUGGCCUGAACGAGCAUGUGAACAAAAGGCUGGAGAUGGGCUCUCGCUAUUCUCUCAUAUCGUAGUAUAUUACACCUGCAGUGCUGUGGAAAUUAAACACAUUAUGACGCUUUGUUCGGAACCAUUAAACCAGCCAAUGCUCAGACUCCCUUUAAAGAGGCCGGCAAUAAACACGCAGAUUAAUCAAAGCCCAUUAUGAGAGUUAAUCAGGUGUCGAUUGUUUGCAAAAAGAUACUGAGUGAUUUCAGAUACUGAAUUUAGAAAGACUUUACUUUGUAUUCUUCUCUUCCACCAGCUUGAAGAUGCCAAAUCAAACACUUGAAACUUAUUGGUUUUUAAAUAUCAAAGAGAGACUAUUUUUCUAUUUUCUGCCUCUGAGACAUUAACAUAAAAUCUUGAUCUAAGCAGCAGAACUGUGUGUGUGUGUGUUUGUGUGUGUGUGUGUGUGUGUGUGUGUGUGUGUGUGUGUGUGUGUGUGUGUGUGUGUGUGUGUGUGUGUGUGUGUGUGUGUGAAACAGCUGUUUCAGACCAGGUGCCGUCUGCUCAGCUCUGCAGUCUCAGGCACAAUUUAAACCAUAACUCUUGGCGGAUAAUUCGUAGCUCGCCAGUGCCAGAUGAAGACUAUUAAAACUGGAUUGCUUUUAAACUGGGACUGUAAUUUUCCCCUUGCACUGGUGGGGCAUUCCUGUUCACAGAUAUUUCUCAGUCUGUGGUUUAUUCCACACAAAGACCCUUGGGGAUUUUUAUAAAAAUAAGAGGGAGAAUAAUGCAAGUAUGUGCACUGGAGUGAGUGUUAAUGACUUGAAAAUCCUCCUCUGUCACCGGCGUUCAUGUCAUAUCACACAAGUGUAUUGUUAACUACAGCUGGAACAAUGUUGUGGACAUAUUGUGAAAAC